rnacentral:rRNA from 1 species
UACGAAGGGGGCUAGCGUUGCUCGGAAUCACUGGGCGUAAAGGGUGCGUAGGCGGGCCUUUAAGUCAGGGGUGAAAUCCUGGAGCUCAACUCCAGAACUGCCUUUGAUACUGAAGAUCUUGAGUUCGGGAGAGGUGAGUGGAACUGCGAGUGUAGAGGUGAAAUUCGUAGAUAUUCGCAAGAACACCAGUGGCGAAGGCGGCUCACUGGUCCGGUACUGACGCUGAGGCGCGAAAGCGUGGGGAGCAAACAGG